UCCCGCGUGACGCAAUUGGUUAGCGUGUCAGACUUUUACAAUAAGGAGAUCUGAAAGUUAGGGGUUCGAGUCCCCUCGCAGGAG
rfam:Fusarium oxysporum f. sp. cubense race 4 unplaced genomic scaffold scaffold21, whole genome shotgun sequence.